rnacentral:rRNA from 1 species
UACGUAGGUGGCAAGCGUUGUCCGGAUUUACUGGGCGUAAAGGGCGUGCAGGCGGUCUGUUAAGUCUAGGGUGAAAGCUCCUGGCUCAACUGGGAGAGGUCCUUGGAUACUGGCGGACUUGAGGGAGGCAGAGGAGAGUGGAAUUCCCGGUGUAGUGGUGAUAUGCGUAGAUAUCGGGAGGAACACCAGUGGCGAAGGCGGCUCUCUGGGCCUUACCUGACGCUGAGACGCGAAAGCGUGGGGAGCGAACCGG